rnacentral:rRNA from 1 species
AUGGCCAUGGGUUCUGCCUCUUGCAUUUCUCUGGUGGUGCUCGUGGCUCUGGCCACGGCGGCCACGGGGCAGCUCUCGUCGACGUUCUACGACACGUCGUGUCCCAGGGCUCUGGCCACCAUCAAGAGCGGCGUGGCGGCCGCCGUGAGCAGCGACCCCCGCAUGGGCGCGUCCCUGCUCAGGCUUCACUUCCACGACUGCUUUGGCUGUGAUGCAUCUGUUCUGCUGUCUGGCAUGGAACAAAACGCGGGUCCGAACGUGGGGUCGCUGAGAGGCUUCGGCGUCAUCGACAGCAUCAAGACCCAGCUGGAGAGUAUAUGCAAGCAGACCGUCUCCUGCGCCGACAUCCUCACCGUCGCCGCCCGCGACUCCGUCGUCGCCCUUGGAGGGCCGUCAUGGACUGUUCCACUUGGGAGACGGGACUCCACCACCGCAAGUGCGGCGCUGGCGAACAGCGACCUCCCAGGCCCUGGCUCCAGCCGGUCACAGCUCGAGGCCGCGUUCCUCAAGAAGAACCUUAACACGGUCGACAUGGUCGCGCUCUCAGGCGCGCACACCAUCGGGAAGGCCCAGUGCUCCAACUUCCGGACUCGAAUCUACGGCGGUGCCACCAACAUCAACACUGCCUUCGCGACGUCUCUCAAGGCCAACUGCCCCCAGUCCGGCGGCAACGGCAACCUGGCGAACCUGGACACGACGACGCCCAACACGUUCGACAACGCCUACUACACCAACCUCCUGUCACAGAAAGGGCUCCUGCAUUCGGACCAGGUGCUCUUCAACAACGACACCACCGACAACACCGUCCGCAACUUCGCAUCCAACGCGGCGGCCUUCAGCAGCGCCUUCACGACGGCGAUGAUCAAGAUGGGAAACAUCGCGCCGCUCACCGGGACGCAGGGGCAGAUCAGGCUCAGCUGCUCCAAGGUGAACUCGUGA